AGGACGAACGCUGGCGGCGUGCUUAACGCAUGCAAGUCGAGCGGAAAGGCCCUUCGGGGUACUCGAGCGGCGAACGGGUGAGUAACACGUGAGCAACCUGCCCUUAGCUCCGGGAUAGCUCCGGGAAACCGGAAUUAAUACCGGAUAUGACCUAGGCCGACAUCGGCUGUGGUGGAAAGUUUUUCGGCUGGGGAUGGACUCGCGGCCUAUCAGCUUGUUGGUGGGGUAAUGGCCUACCAAGGCGACGACGGUA
rnacentral:rRNA from 1 species